rnacentral:rRNA from 1 species
UAGAGUUUGAUCAUAGCUCAGAUUGAACGCUGGCGGCAGGCCUAACACAUGCAAGUCGAGCGGUAACAUUUCUAGCUUGCUAGAAGAUGACGAGCGGCGGACGGGUGGGUAAUGGCUGGGAACCUGCCCUAACGAGGGGGAUAACAGUUGGAAACGACUGCUAAUACCGCAUAAUGUCUUCGGACCAAAGGAGGGGAUCUUCGGACCUUUCGCUUUAAGAUGAACCCAAGUGGGAUUAGCUAGUUGGUGAGGUAAUGGCUCACCAAGGCGACGAUCCCUAGCUGGUCUGAGAGGAUGAUCAGCCACACUGGAACUGAGACACGGUCCAGACUCCUACGGGAGGCAGCAGUGGGGAAUAUUACACAAUGGGCGAAAGCCUGAUGCAGCCAUGCCGCGUGUGAGAAGAAGGCCCUAGGGUUGUAAAGCACUCUCAGUCAGGAGGAAAGGUUAGUAGUUAAUACCUGCUAGCUGUGACGUUACUGACAGAAGAAGCACCGGCUAACUUCGUGCCAGCAGCCGCGGUAAUACGAGGGGUGCAAGCGUUAAUCGGAAUUACUGGGCGUAAAGCGAGCGUAGGCGGCUGAAUAAGCUGGAUGUGAAAAACCGGGGCUCAACCUCGGCCGUGCAUUCAGAACUGUUUAGCUAGAGUCCUGUAGAGGGGGGUAGAAUUUCA